rnacentral:rRNA from 1 species
UACGGAGGGUGCAAGCGUUAAUCGGAAUUACUGGGCGUAAAGCGCACGCAGGUGGCUGAGUCAGUCGAUUGUGAAAGCCCUGGGCUUAACCUGGGAAUUGCAGUCGAUACUACUCGGCUUGAGUAUGGGAGAGGGCAGUGGAAUUCCCGGUGUAGCGUGAAAUGCGCAGAUAUCAGGAGGAACACCGGUGGCGAAGGCGGAUCUCUGGGCCGAUACUGACGCUGAGGAGCGAAAGCGUGGGGAGCGAACAGG